GAAAUGUGAUAAGUAAUGUGAAUUGCAGAUGUCUGUGAAUCAUCAAGUCUUUGAACGCAAGUUGCGCCGCCAAAAGCGGCAUACUUGUUGGAGUGAUGGUAAAAUCAAAACAAACAAAAGAACCUUUCCUCUUUUUCCUUUCUUCCUUUCUUUUAAGGAAGGAAAAAAAAGAGGGAGUAUUGAGGAUCUAAUUGAUUUCUUAAUAGAAAAUCAAUUUAGUCUCUUUUAAUUGUAUGUCUUUUUUUCCCCCCCUUCUAUCAUCAAAAUAGUAGAUAUUGCUGGAUGUGCUUUUAAAAUACACAAUUUUAUCAAUAUCGAAGAAAAUGACGAACUUGGAGAGGGGAAAACAAAAAAAGCACCAUAUCGGAACUCUCUUUAAUUAAAAACAUCAUCCUCCAAU
rnacentral:misc_RNA from 1 species